rnacentral:tRNA from 1 species
GGCGGGGUAGCUCAGCUGGUUAGAGCGUCGGAUUCAUAACCCGGAGGUCACGAGUUCAAUUCCCGUCCCCGCUA